AAAUUGGGAUCAUCUGAAUUUUAUCUUCAUUCCAUGUGAAUAUCACAAAAUCGUGAGCAUCAAUAUAAAGUGAUUUGUACUAUUGAUCGAAGAUAUUGGCAGAUAACCAGCUUGUUUGCAACGGAGUGUUAACCUCUUUCGAGAUCCCCACCCGGCUUCAAUCUGCUUCCUUCUCUGGAUGUUACUCUUAAAUCGAAACACUUGCACGUAAAUGGAAAUGUGUAGUGAAUAAUAGUGGAAAUUAUUGGCAUUCGUUAGUUGACAAUAUUGUACUUCAUUUUUGCGUUUAAAUUACAUGUAUAAUUCUUUAUUUCCAGGAUUAGUUAAAAUUCUUUGAUCAAAUAAUAUGUUCUUUCGCUGUUUUAUUGUUAAUAUGAAACUAUUAUAUAUAAUAGUGCUAAUUUCAGUUACCUAUGCUCUUGAAAAUUCAUCUGAAGUUGCUACAUCUGAAGGGAUGGUAGCUCUCAUGGGUUUUCGAUUUGAAUCCGAGUUCCCCGCUCCUUUCACAUUAGGAAUAGGCCAAAGAUUACCUUUCUUUACAGAAGGACAAUUUGUAGAUAAACAUUUAUCACUGAGUCAACUUCAUCGAUUUGAGGUGAAUGCAUGGCAUUCAGAAUCCAGAAGUUACACAAUUAUACACUUGAUAAUUAAUAGGGUUAGUAGAACUGACGGUGGAACAUACUAUUGUCAAUUUGGUUCACUUAGGAGAAUGCAGGCAGUAGCUCUGAAUGUGCAUUUCCCUCCCGGUAGAGUUGAAUGUCGUGUUUACCCUACGAAUGAGAGCAAGUGGGAAAUGUUGAAAUGUUCAGCUACAGGAGGAAGCCCUCGUGGCAGAAUCGUUUGUUUAGAUUCUCAAAAUGUUGAAAUACCUGUAAGGGGAGAUGUUGGAGAAAAUGACACUCACAUUAUUCGAGAAAUUUGGAUAAGGCCAAAUUCUUCUGCAUACUGCUGCGCCAAAAACCACGCAAGUACUAUGUCACAUGAAUGCCAUGAAUUUGUAUUACAAAGGGAAAAUUUGAACGGAAUGAAUGAAAAAACUUCUUUAAAGUCAACAUUUACUAAGACAAGUAUCUACUCUUCAGAGACAACAUUAUCGAGCAUUUCUCAAGGUGAAAAUGUUCCCAUAUUUACUCAAAAUCUCUGGAUCUAUAUUUCCCUUGUAACCCUAGCAAUAGUAUUUAUAGGGCUAGCAACAACAAUUUGUUUGUGUUUUGUGUAUAGAAAGCAUAUUGAAACAGUCUUAAAACCGAGUAAGGAUGUUGGGUUAAAGAGGAAGGAGAAAUUGCCAUCUAUAGAUUUAAAAACUGAAAAUACACCUGAUGAUCCUCCUUCUAAGCGAAAGCCACCGUCUACAGAUUUUGUAAAGGAAUUAUAAGCAAGUUCUUUAAAAAGCAAAUUACCAGAU